rnacentral:rRNA from 1 species
AAAGCGAGCGAGUGAUUGUAAGCAAAUCUCAAAAAUAACGUCUCAGUUCGGAUUGUAGUCUGCAACUCGACUACAUGAAGCUGGAAUCGCUAGUAAUCGCGAAUCAGCAUGUCGCGGUGAAUACGUUCCCGGGUCUUGUACACACCGCCCGUCACACCAUGGGAGUUGGUAACGCCCGAAGCCAGUGACCCAACUGGAAACGGAGGGAGCUGUCGAAGGUGGGACCGAUAACUGGGGUGAAGUCGUAACAAGGUAGC